UCUCCCCUUCCUCUCUUACCUUCUACUUUUGCUCCCAGAAUACUUUCCUCGAAUUAAUCUUUUUUGGGGGGUUCCCUUUUAGUUUUAUUAGCCCAAGUUGAUCCUGACAGGCAUGGUCGAAAAGUCCGCAUCUUUUACUUAAAUAAUCCAAAUUGUGUAAAUAUAUGGAGGCAUGAAAACACCACAUUAAAAAAAUUAAUUCUUCGUUAAAACACUAUACACCCAUUUUUUAACCAAUGGACACAAAACCUUAUAAGUAAUAUAAUCCUCUUAUUUCAACACAGGGAUUUGUGGAUCUGCAGUCUGACUUGUUCUUCAUCUUCCCUACCUUCGAGUUUGUGAGCCAGCUGAGCUCUGUGUCCCCCCAGACAGACAUCUUUUUGUACCUGUUUGAUUUUUAUCCUGAGUUUGAAUCGGCCGACGCCCCACAGACCGGCACGAACCACGGCACAGACCUGGCCUUCUUCUUCGACCAAGGCGACCUCGCCAGCAGCUACCUCGCCCCGGACAUCAGACUCAACACCCCGGCAGCCAUUUCCGUCACUGAUGCCUACAGGGGGACCCUCACCCAAUUCGCCAAGACCGGGAACCCAUCUCGUGCGGCAACUGGAGGCUCCCCGGCCUCAUGGCCCCGGUUCGAAUCCAAAGAGAAGUUGUACAUGGCCAUCGCUCCACAGUCGCAGGUUGGGAGAGAGUACUUUUCUCAACGGAUGUCGCUGUGGAAAGACUUCCUCCCGCAAGUUGCGACGAACGUGUUCACUGGACGCAGAGGUGCUCGCUUUUGGACGGGUUAAGUAGUUGUGUGGACUCGUGUACGACUUUUGCUGAGUUUGAAUGAUGGAAUAAAUAUAAUCGCUCCUCUGGACUUGGCGGUUGCUUUUAUCGGAUACCAGUACGAUUGCAAUGAAUCAGAUAAGUUGCUGAAAACA